CCCGGCGCGGGAUGCGCGGGCGGGCAGGCGGCGGCGGCGGCGGCGGCAGCGGCUGCGGCAGCUCCGGGAGCUGGAGGGACGGGGCCGGGCGGCCGGCGGCCGCCGCGCUCGCCUGACCUGCGUGCCCCGCUGGCCGCGCCGGGCUGCCCCGAAGGAUGUCCGCCCAGUCCAAGGGGACCGCAUCCUCCUCCUCCUCGCCGUCCGAGGGGCCGCCGGCAGCCUCCAAAGCCAAGGUGAAGGAGCAGAUCAAGAUCAUCGUGGACGAUUUGGAAUUAGUCCUGGGGGACCUGAAAGAUGUCGCCAAGGAACUUAAGGAGGUGGUUGACCAGAUUGACACACUGACAUGCGAUCUGCAGCUGGAGGACGAGAUGACGGACAGUUCCAAAACAGACACGCUGAACAGCAGCUCCAGCAGCACGACGGCCUCCAGCCUGGAGAAGGUGAAGGUGCGGGGCAGCGCGCCCCUCAUCAAGCCCCCCGCUCACCCCUCCGCCAUCCUCACCGUGCUGCGGAAGCCGAACCCGCCGCCUCCUCCGCCUCGGCUGACGCCGGUCAGGUGCGAGGAGCCUCCCCGGAUGCCUCCCGCCGCCAACCCGGUCAAGACCAACGGCACGCUGCUGCGGAACGGGGGCCUGCCCGUGGGGCCCGGCCGCGUCCCCAACGGGGAUGUGUGCUGCCUGGCCGGCGCCGGCCUGGAGAAGGUGGCGGUGCAGCCCCUGGCGCACAGAGCUGAGAAGGAGCGGUGCGCCCAGCCGGGAGCCAGGGAGCGCGUACGGUUCAGUGAGAAGGUGCAGUACCACGGCUACUGCCCCGACUGUGACGUUCGGUACAACAUCAAAAACAGGGAGGUGCACUUGCACGGCGAGCCGGCCCGGGCUGCGGGGAAGCUGCCGCACCAGUGCCCUCCUCUGCCACCUCCUCCACCUCCGUUGCCUCCAUUUCUUCUGGAAAAUGGAGGGUUGGGGAUAAGUCCCAGUAACAGCUUUCCUCCUCCGAGACCUGCAACUGUGCCUCCACAAACUGCGCCAAAACCCCAGAAGACCAUCUUGAGGAAGUCAACCACUACAACAGUGUGAAGUAUGCCCCUUGUAAUAACUCUUUGUUUUUCCCUAUAUAUAAACAUAAAUAGGUAAUGAGCACUUUCUACUUGAGCAAUAAAAAGACCCAAUGUAUUACACCCUGUGUCCGGUGAAGUGGCAUAAAAAUCACAUGUGAAAUUCCAUCCUAUCCCUUGACAAUCUUUAUCAACUUAAAUCAUUCGAGUAAGAAAUGAGAGGAGAUGUAUAUGAGGGACUAGAUUCACAAAACUGAUGGCAAAGAAGAAACCUUCCUCCUGACUGAAGUUUGUACCUCCGGGUGUAAAUCACCAAAACUGCACGAGGAAGUUGUUAUUCUUUUCCUCAGGACGUGUGACUUUAAUCCUUUAAUGCAAAUUAGUGUAGUAGCUACCAAUAGCACCUUCAGGCUUGAAGGAAUAUCUAUAUUUGGAGGCACGUCAAUUAAUUUGCAUAUCAGAUUCAUCAUUGUGACUUCUUGCAGGCCAGAUCUGAGAAGUAACCAGGAAACCUGACCCUUAGUGGAGAAUGGAAAAACCCUUGAAGUCAGAGCACAACUGAUCACUAGUGUAAUCUGCAUUGAAUCAUCUUUCUCAGAUCUGACAGCUACAAGCUGGGUCCUGGCAAAAGCCACAGCCUUAAAUUCCAUUUAGUGGGAAAGAAGGAUAAGAGAACUCAAUGCCCCGUUGCAGAAACUGCUGUCUCCAAGCCUGACACCUGAGUUCUGUGCUGAGCAACCAGAGUACCAAACGACGAGUUUUUUAUGGGUACAGCCAGCAUCAACAAAUAUUUCAAUAUGUAGCCAAAAGGAGAAACGAAGCACUUGCGUAAUUUCAGAAAAUGGAUACAUUUAUUGUAACGGAGGAAUGUUACUGUCUGUGGGGAAGAAGGCCUUUGUCAUCCCUUGUAUAUAUUGAAAGCCAUACAGGAACAGGGCAUAAGUGAAGUUCAGUCACUUAAAAGGAUGCUGUCUCCUGUCCUCCACCCAACUUUGAGGAAGUUCUGCUCUUAGAGAUUGCAUCUCGAUGCACUUCUAUUAUUUGCACUGUCACUUCCAUUCAGGGUAAUGAUGUGUGCCACCAUUUGCACAGAUGGCCCCAGGAGAUUUUAGACCACAACAAGCUAUACUUUGCCAGGGCUCCAAAAAGAAUUAAAAAGUUAGAACUGAAGACAGACAUUUCUGCUCUCUUUCGCUAUGGGGAUCUCUUCACAGAAAGGAUUAUGUUCCUUUCUUAGGAUGAAAUAAAUACAUGCAUAUACAUACAUAUAUACAUAUGUAUAUAUAUGAAAAAGCAGCAACAUGAUAAGGUGUAUUUAAAAAGGGGAUAUAAUCUUUUUUAAUAGCAUCCUUUUUUUUAAUCAUAUUAGCAGCCGAAAAAUACAGUCUAUUGAAUUACACAUCAAAAAAUAUUCCUAUUGAACAUUGACAUUUAGUCCCAGUUACUGCUAAAGAAAUCAUUUGUAAUAUGUACUUGACAUAAAAUUUUUCUAGCCAUUUGUCUAUAUUUCAUGGAGAAAUCUAACAGACAAGCAACAUUUUCAGUUUAUUUUUCUAAAUAAAUGUGUUGUUUGUAUUAUUUGCAGUCACUCAUUUUGGCUGGUUUUCAUGAUCUCCAAAAGUGAUUUAAAGACAGAACCAAAACACAGGGAUUGUUGUUCUUGUUAAGCUGUAAUGAUUUGCUGAAUGAAAGCUUUAAUAUAAAUACUGUAAUUUGUAAAAUGAUGAAGUAUAUUUAUAUAGGCAAAUAUGUAUGGAAAACAAAAGGAGGUAUUUUAACUCUUAAUUUCAGAACAUAGUUUAUUUUAAUAUCCACAGGAAGAAAUUAAAUAUAUAAUGGGAUAGGGUUUUUAUUAUCAGUGAGUUUUAGUAAGUGAAAAUUUGGAUGUUUAAGAAUUAAAUGAAUGUAGUCAAAUAAUGGUGGUUUCCCAAAUUAUACAGAGACCUUUUGCCAGCUGUCUCAUUUUACUCAAAAACUGGUUUACUCAUUUGGGUGGUUGGGAUUUUCUGGGGGGUGUGUGUGCUAAGGUUUAUGUUUGGUGUUUUGUUUGUUUCGGCAUACUGACACGACCAUGAAUUUGAUACUAUUUGCUCAUAAUUUGAAAAGUUACAGAAUAAAAGAUUGUUUCUUAGAACAGUCUACAGUUUGGAGUUGAGAACAGUCAUUUUUAUCCAUCUAAUGCAGUGUUUUGUUGUAGAGUUAUUGAACAUUUCAAUGCUAGAGCUGUUUCAAAUAAAAAUAUUUUUUCCUUUUUUUUCUUAGUCCAUUAGCCUACGUGUAAUUUGAAGAGGAAAGUAAUGCAUUUGGUUCCCAGUUUACUUAAAUAAUUCCUCUUAAAUCCAGUUAUAUGUAUCUGCUUUAUAAAGCUGAAUAGGCUUUUCUUUCAGUCCAUUGCUUUAUGGAAGCAUUUAAGUGCACACUAACGGAAAAAAGUACCUUUCAACAACAAAAAUUAAUUUUAAAAAGUCUGUGGGUUGACUUUGUGAAGGGCAGAUAUCUUAAAAAUGUGUUGCUCUGCUCUAAUGUGCUAACAAGUGUUAUGCGUGUGUGUUCGUGUGUGUGUGCACGCAUGGCACCCCUGCCUGCUCGUGAGUAAAAUGCCAGCCCUGCUGAAGUAAGUGCCACAAGUCCUGUUGCUGCAAAAGAUGCUCAUGUUACUGUAUUAUUUGGUGAAAGACCUGAGCCCUGUCUUUGCUUGUGACUCUGAAGCCAUAAACAGCUUUUGAAGUUUGUCAGGAAAUUGGAAAAUUAAGUAAGUUUAUGUUGAGCUCCCUCAUUUGGCAAAAAUUGGGAUGAUCUUAUGAUUUGACUCUUUCUAUGAAAGUUAGUGGUCAAUUUCUUUUGGUGCAAUGGAUAAAUGAAAUCUCUGUAUUUGUUCAAGAAUGAUGGCUGUGUUUUGUUCACACACAAUUUAGCUUUUGGCUUAUAGUGUUCUUAGUGUGAUGUCAUUCCUGUGUCAUUAGAAUACAUUAUUUGGACACACAGCUAGCAUGGGCUUGAUUUUCCUCCCUUUCUGGAUAAUUUAUAUUUUAAAAUUGAAGACCUUGUUCCUUGAGACAAGUAUUCAGUUGUUUAAGAAGGGGACAAUAUUAACAAAAAGAAAAUUUCAGAAUGAUAAUUUGAACACUUCCAUCAUUGCCUAAAAAUAACAAUUGAAACAGCUCUUAUUUUUGUGAACAAAAUGCAUUCGUCUAUAUUUGAAAAUAGCCCAAUAAAAAUCCAGUGGAAUAAUUUGUUUCUAUUUGCAAAUACUUUUCUGCUAUGCUGAGUUCUAGAUCAGCUCUUGUGUGUAAAAUUUUUGUUGCACAAAACCCACCUGAAACAAUGCACAGUUUUCUUCAGAAAAAUACAUGAGAUAUGAAAAAUAAUUACUUGGUCCUGGGAGUGGUUUUAUGUAACGUGUGCAAUGCAAAAAUGAUGAGCAUAUACCAACAUGUAGACCUAAUUUAAGUGAUAAAUGUAGUUGGAAGAUAACACUGUAAACCACGGGUCUCAUUAAUCACAUGCUGUUAUAUUUGCACCUCUGCUUAACUGGGACUUCUUGCUGGAACGUUAAUUUCAAUGUGUGUGCUCACUUAUAUAAUGUCAUGUGUCAUGUCUUAUUUUACUGCCUGUGCCAUUGAUAGAAAUCAAAGUUGCUUGAUUUUCAUAGAUUUAAAUUAAAUCUUUAGAUAAGUGUUCAAUAUUGGGUAUAAAUUGAGAUGAUGUCUCUAUAUUGUGCAGAUACUCCCACGAGACGGCAUUUCAACACACAAUUUCAGAAAUUGUUGGCAAAUAAUUAGCACCAAAAUGCUUUUUUGUAGUUUAAAACCAGAGGAGACAAUUAGAUUGUCUCAUUGAACAGCAUAAAAGCUGUUUUAUUUCCAUUGUGUUCAUCCAAGCAUACUGACAAGACCGUCAGAACUUUUUCAACUAAGAUGUCUUUACAGUGACUGCUGGGUCAUUUUGUAGGUUUAUGUCUCUGUCAUGCAUAUAAGAAAUGCCUGCAGAAAUAGUUCUAGAGUAAUAGUGCAUUGUUUCAUUAGCUGGCAUCUAAAAAGCCACCUGAAGCAGGCAAAAGCUUGAAAGGGUGAGGUGUGCAAAACAAAAUGCUGACAGUUCUAGACAUGUCUACAGGACAUAAUUUCAGUAGUUGAUUUUUUAAAAAACAAGGAUCACCAUCAUUUGUGAGAAUAACUGAGAUAUGUAAAAAUAGCUCUUUUGCGGAGUGGAAGAAAAAUAUUCCACAAAACCUGGUGAUCACCAGGGUGUUACCAAAGUAUCUCUCUCCCUGACAGAGGUGACCCAAGUGUCAUGUGUGGAUAUGCCCAAGGGAGAGAUUUUUUUUUUUCUCUGAUGAGUGAUAUUCUGGGUGCACAGCAAGGCAGUGAUGCUAUUAGUAAAACCUGAUUGCCAGGUCGUGGUAGGCUGUUGCCUAAGGAGAGACAGAGGAAGGACAGCAUCACUCUGCCCUGGAGCUGCCCCAAGGGAGGAGGCUGUCACUGACCCAGGACCUUAGAGGGAAUCUUGGAGGACUGCUGAGACUAAAUCAAUGAUUUUCAUAGUCUGGACUGUUGAAGAUGCCACGAGAGAGGAAGCCAAAACCAGGUGGAUGUUGUUCAAAUUAUUUCUCUCUCUAGAUUCAGUAUCUUUGCAGAGCUGCCAGGAAGCCAUGAAAUCUCCCCACAUUUGGGCUGAACUUCAGGAAAGGCAAUUAUAAACAAGGACUCCUGUUUGGGAGAAUCUGGAAGGAAUACUAAGAGAGUUAAGUCAUGGCAGAUGGCACAGAGACUGUUUAAGGUAUUAUUGAAGGCAGAGAACAAAUACAUUGUACUUAGCUAGAAAGGCUUGAGAAAAGGUAAAAGGGAAAGCACACAGUGAAUCAGCAGGGUGCUGAGGGCAAGACAUCCUUCAGAUAGCUGAAGAUUUUUAAAGAAAAUAUAAAGAAAAAUUAAAAAAUAAAAAAAAACCCAAACAACUAAACCCAGACCAACAUUAAUCAAAACAAUUCCAAGAUAGAGAUUUCUCAACUAAAACAGUUGAAAGAAACCAGAAUUAAGAAAUUCUGUUUCUACAACAGAGCAGAGGGAGGUCUGGGAGACUGUCUGUAAGGCUCAAAGAUAAUCAAGGAAAACAGAAGCACUUAGAAGAAGAAGCUGUAGGAGCAAAAUUGUCAUAACAUUUUUAUUCUGAUCAUGCUGUGGAAGGACUUUUGUAGAUUCUUACACAUGGGUUUUUUUGUAGGUGAGCUCUUAUGAAGUCAUGAGGUGGUACAAAACAAAAGGAAGGAGUAUAAACCUAAGAUUUUUAAAGACACUCAGGGAUGAAACAUCCAAAUGGUACCUGUGGUGUGAAAUUCAUGGUUUAAAGCUGUUUUGAUGUGAGGUUGUAACUGUGUUGCCAGUUUUAGAUUGAAAGAGUAUUAUCCUUUAAAUCUGUACGGGCAAAAGGGUUCAAACUAUAACAAUAUCUUUCUAAAAAGAGCUAGAAGGCGUCUAACAGUGUCAGUAUUGCCAAACACCGCAGGAAAUUGCACAAAUGGCUAAGAGAAAACAUGGAGGAAACUGCAGCUGGCUAAGAGGAAGGUUCCUGCAUUCACAAAAAGAUUUAUAAAAUAUUGGACAAAAGAGUGGUUUUUGUGUCAGUUUUCAUAGGCAACAGAGGCCAAGAGUGAAAUUCCAGGGGACAUAUUCUGUUAUACGUGUGUCUCAAAAUAUAUUUGAACAUGUGAAUAUGCUGGAAAAGUAGUGUAUAAUUAUUUGGUAAAUUUGGUGAUCAUAGCUAAGGUGUUAUUAAAGGUGUUACAUAGGAGUGGCCUGAUUUACUGGUUAUUAAAAUUAAAAAUUAAAUUCAAUGAAGGUAAAUGUAAACUAAUAUGAAAGCAAUUUUAUAUUUUUACAUAUUUCACUUAGCUUUAUAUGUAGUGGUUAAAUGUUUCUAUGAAAAUGUUGGUCUUGUGCUUAUGAGGUCAGAAAAAAAUGCAAGUAUGCAGUUAACAAUUACUGGAAAGCAGCUGAGAAAAUAAGUGAACAUUAAAUACAUCAUAUCAAUCAAUAGAUAUGCAGUGGCUUAAUAUGAUAUUUAACUUCUUAAAUACUAUGCAGUCAGUUCCUUGAGUGGAAAACAAACAAACAAAAAUAUGAUCAAGCUGAAAAAGCUUCAGAGAAUGAAUGAAAAGGUAGAAAAAUAAAAUGGUAGAAUUAGAUUCUGUCUGUGAAGUGACAACAGGCAACACUUAUUCUGCUCAACAGAGGUGUGAAAGAGUAGAGAAACAGGAUCAUGAAUGACAUGAAGUGUGCAGUAGCAGGGGACAUCAAACAAAUCUAGCCACUGGGAAGCUCAAAAAUAAAAUGUUUAUUUAAGCAAUGUGGAGGGAAGCCGUGGAACUCUCACUCAAAACAUACUGCAUAUGCUGAAAAUUUAUGGCAACUAGGUGCUGUGAGAAGAAAGGAAAAAUAGUAAUUGAGAGUUGCUAAAUGACGUGAUCCUGAUUUUGCCUCAGUGAAGACCCAUUGGUGUCAGGGUGAGUAUAAUGAAGAUGAGUUUCUACACGUGUGUUCUGCAUCACUGUCAGCUGCUUUUGUGGCUCACAUAGACCACUUACGUAAACUGAAAUCAGGGGGCAGAAAAUUCUGCUUUGGCAAUGUGUAUUUUAUAGAGGUACAAACAAAUUAGCAAAACCAGCCAAGAGUUUUCAUAUGGAGAGCACAAAAAAAAAACAAAAAAAAAAACUUAAGACAGGUAAGGGAUGACGUUUUAGAAGUUACGUAAUUAUUAAAAAUUCACCUGUUCAGUAAUGUGUUACACUGAGGUUUAUCUACUGAGAUUUAAAUAGACAUGUGUUGUUAUUAAAAAGACUAGUGUCAAGUUAAUGUUUCAGGAAGUAAAACAUCCCAAAAUUAAAAAAAAAAAAAAUUGCAGUCUUUUGAUUAGUGCUGGUUAUAUAUUCCUUUAAAAUAAACAUAUGUGUCUGUU